UCAUGAUAGGUGAUAGUCCAGCAGUAUGGUUCAAGAAGUCGACGAAAGCAGACGUUUAUCAUCAGUAUUCUGCUCACAAUUAGAGCACUUAUCGCAAGACGAACAAAAUCCAGCUUAUAUUAAUAAAAAGAGCGCCUAGCAGACGAUAAACAAUGUCAAGGUUGAGAUCAACCCUCUUCACUUGCUGCUUACUAUUUUGCCUGAUUUUGGAAAUCCAUAGCGAUUCCGAAUUUAAACCGUUUACCUUAACCAAACAAUGGACAGCAAACACCACGUACCCGCCCAACGUAAUCAGGAUCAACGGAAUUGAAGAUGAUCUCUUAGUAGUUGGUUUGGAGAAUAACACAAUCUACGUAAACUCAACCUUCAAUGGUAACCAAUCCAACAAUUGCAAGCUCGACUUUUUGAAACCGGACGAAAUCGCUGGUCACAAAAUUCGAGUCUAUGCUCUCGGUAACGGUCAAAUUAUUAUCAAUACUCCCAUGAUGACAGAGAGCCACAAGUUGCGCAGCAAAGGACCCAGUCCCCCUGUCUGGCGUAUGCUUCUUAUCUUCUACCCAUUCCAAUGUUCCAAUCUCAAAAAAGUAGAGUUGCGCAGAAAUGAUCGUGACGACUUCGAAGCUCUCGUACCCUAUCAUGACACCUUUGACGUGUUCUAUCACAGCGAAUCUACUGAUAACGCUGAGGUUUUGAAGUCUCCUCAAAGAUACAACAACAAUGGUGAACAACUGAAUCUGAACUACUCCAUCGGUUUAGAAAACCAAUUUCUCAUCAGGAACAUCCAAACGUUGAUACCGAACGAUGCAUCCGAAGGAUACAUCAGUUACAUUGACACAGGAAAAGAAAACGUACUGAGGCUUCUCAACCCUCACUUCGAAACACUUGCCGAAGCCACUGUCGAUAACUUCAUCAGCACCGUGUCAGGCAAAUUCAACGGAAAAAUUAACUACUGCUAUUCGACGACGAAGCCGUACAAUAACAGUAAGAACACAAAGGAAGAAGGAAGCGAACAUGUAGUCUGUAAGUUUCUAGCCACUGGGCUGAAAGACCAAGAUACGAAGGAGUUACCGAAGCCAGUUGAAAGAAAACGUGUCUAUAACACUAUCCUGACCAACUUAUUCAAUGGCGGAGUUGUAGCUACAGUAGCUUACAGAUACCCCCGUAAGACUGACGGUUUUCCGAUGAGGAUCUUCGCGCACUACACCGAUCGCCUGGGAGUGACUCGGAAACCAGUCGAGAUCUUUUCACAUUCGAUUUACUAUCAAGACGUUGCGGAGACGAUUUCGUUAGAUAAUGGAGACGUUUGCUUUGUCAAUGGUGGAGAAAUGGAGCCUUACAAACCUUUCCAAAGCGUGAGGAACAGCAUUUGGAUCGACUGCUAUAAAGUCUCGGAUUAGUGAAAAUAAUUUAUGUUAAAAGUGAUUUUAUUUGAGUUAAAAUAAAUGUUUACGUAAGAUAAUGUGUUUUCAUUUCUUACCAGGAAUUUCAUCAUAUUAAUUCGACGAAAUGUAAUCAUUUGACAAUACGAGAUUGAGAGGAGUUACGUAUCAGCAUAAAUAUGUACAUAAUAUACAUAGCAUUAAUACAUUAGUGUGAUUUAAGAAACUGUUGAAUGCGGACGUGAGAGACUUUUUUAUCCUCCGUACUGUCAAACAACUUAUUCACGAUGUCGAUGUCCAAAUCGACGAUCUUCACUUGUGGCUUACUAUGUUGCCUGAUCCUAGAAAUCCAUGGCUUAACAUUGAAAACAUUCACCAAACGAUGGUCAGCCGACUACACUUUCCCACCAAACAUAGUCGCGGUCAACGGUCAUCUCUUAGUCGUUGGUAUGCAAAAUAACACGAUCAUCGUAGACUCGACCUACAAUGGUAACCAGUCCAACACUUGCAAGCACGACUUUUUCAAUCCGGAUGAAUUUUUCAUCGAUCAAACCAAAGUCACUGCUCUUGGUAAUGGUAAGAUCGUUAUCCACACUGUGAUAUCAGAGAGUGACAAGGUGCGCAAUGUACGAAUACCCUGGCGUCUACUUCUUAUCCUAGACCCAUUCGACUGUUCUUCUCUCAGGAAAGUGGAGUUUCGUAGGUAUAGGGAUUACACGUUUGAAGCUCUCGUACCUUAUCGGGACAGCUUUGACGUGUUUUUCCAUAAUUCGUCAAAGGAACGUGGUAACGCGUUAAAAAUUCCUCACCGAUACAACGACCAAGGUAAACCGAUCCAGCUGGAAAACUUCGUAGGUUUUGAAAACCAAUAUUUGAUUGGGAAAACUGAAACGAUCGAACCAUACGACGCAUCUAAGGGAUACGUUUGUUACAUGUACUCAGGCAAAGGGUACGUACUGAGGCUUCUCAACUCUCGCUUUGAAACGUUAAAGGAAAUCGUUGCUGAAAACUACAUAGAUAACUUCUCUGCAACUUUCGGAAAAAUCAACUACUGCUACUCAACGACGAAAGACUAUCAAACUACGACACACAACGACAGCAAAACUAUGAAGGAAACAGGAAGAGAACACGUGAUCUGCGAGUUCCUAGACGCCGAUCUCAAAUCCAAGGCCACAGUUGAAUUACAGAAACCUGUUGAAAUGAAGCGAGUCUACGACAGCAUCGUGACCAAUCUACCCGAUGGUGGAGUUUUGAUUACAGUAGCAUACAAAGACAGUCGUGAGACUAACAACUAUCCGAUGAAGAUCUACGUGCAACAUAUCAACGUUGAUGGAAGUAGGGGAGAACCUGUAGAGAUCUUCACGCAUUUGAUUUACUAUCAGCGAGUGAUGGAAACGAUUUUGAUAAAUAACGAAGAAGUUUGCUUCGUCAAUGGUGGAUCGAUGGAGCCUACUUACAAAGAAUUCGAAAGUAAAAAGUACGGUAUGUGGAUUGACUGCGUCCUAGUGUCAGAAUUUUAAACAAUGCAAAUGUAUAACGAUGAUGGAAUAAAUAAAUU